GAAUAAGAGGUCCAGCCUGCCCUGUGACUAUAUGUUCAACGGCCGCGGUAUUUUAACCGUGCGAAGGUAGCGUAAUCACUUGUCUUUUAAAUGGAGACCUGUAUGAAUGGCAUUACGAGGGCUUAACUGUCUCCUUUUUCAAGUCAAUGAAAUUGAUCUCCCCGUGCAGAAGCGGGGAUAAUCCCAUAAGACGAGAAGACCCUAUGGAGCUUUAGACACCAAGGCAUAUCAUGUUACCUAUCCCUACACCCUGGGAAUUAAACCUAUUGAAUCAUGCCCCUAUGUCUUCGGUUGGGGCGACCACGGGGAAAUAAAGAACCCCCGCGUGGAAUGGGAGCACUGACUCCUACGACCAAGAGCUGCAGCUCUAACGAACAGAAUUUUUGACCAAUAAAGAUCCGGCAACGCCGAUCAACGGACCAAGUUACCCUAGGGAUAACAGCGCAAUCCCCUUUUAGAGCCCGUAUCAACAAGGGGGUUUACGACCUCGAUGUUGGAUCAGGACAUCCUAAUGGUGCAGCCGCUAUUAAGGGUUCGUUUGUUCAACGAUUAAAGUCCUACGUG
rnacentral:rRNA from 1 species